AAAACAUAAGCUACACCCACCACAACAAUUCCCAAUUAUCUCUCUCACUCUCUAAGCCACGUCUCUCUCUAAGUUAGGGCUCUUGAACUUGAUAACUUUCAGCGUUCUAUCUCAAAAAUUGACGACAGUGGAGUGUUAACGACAGCGAUGAAUGACGGUAUUGAAGGUGAAUCAAGAAAUUUCCAUCUUCACUCACAUCUUCACUGAUUCAAGGAAUAUGAAAAUGGGGAAAAAGAGUGCCCUUUUAUUGAUGUCAACGAAAAAACGCAUAGGAAGAAAAAUAAGGACGGUACAAGAGGAGAUUGGGUAGAAACGCGUGCUAAGAAUGCAUAUGAAGAAUUUCAAAAAAGCAUAGAAGAGUGGUGUCAAACCCAACUACGAGGACGAUAAUGAAUCUAAUGAUAAUUAGAUUGUAGUUAUUGUUCUUGUUUUUGGUUGUGACAUUUAUAUGUUUAAAUUAUUUGAUUUGAUGUUUGUUUUGAAUGGUUUAAAGUGGUUGUAUUUAUAAACUUUUGUCGUGUUUGAUC